rnacentral:lncRNA from 1 species
CUAAAAAACUGUCAAAUGGUAACAGCCCUACUUUCUACGCCAGGAAAACCCACUGUUGAGUUAGUUGGCUCUGAUUCCAAUGGUCUCAUCAGCUUUCUGAACGUAGGUACCUCAGCAGUGCCUCUUCCAAGAUAACAAAAUGAACUUUUAGAGAUUAAAAAAAUACAUUUUGGCAAUUGAAACUCACCAGCGCCUUUCUGCUUCUCCAGGAAGUUGUACCCGUCAGCACCUGCUGAGGGCUUUGUUGUCCAAACUCUGACAGGUAAAAAAAUUCCUGUAGAAUAAAGCCAGACCAGCUGGCUUUGAAGAGAAACCCCCCAGUUUGGGCUGCGUUUGUCUCCUCUCCUUUUCUAUGAAGACCCAGGCUUUCCCCCCUUGAUCGUCAAGCCGUAAGAUGCGUGAUCCCUGUGCACAAGUGUCUGGCAGGCCGAGGUGCACCUGUUCCUGUCACUCUGGAGUAAAUUUAGCUGUAAAGGUAUCACUGACAACCAGACCUUUGUCAGAGCUGGCAAAAGAACACAGAACUGCUGCCCUCCCCCACCCCUUCCAAACCCCUUCGCUGCUCGUUCAAAUGGAAAAUGUCAAAUCGGAAGUCUAUCCAAAAAUCAUUCCUGAAAAAAUGAGAUUGCUUUCAUAUGGUAAAAAGGCACCACUUUCAGAUAAAAACAUAGACCUGAAUGGCAUCAUCCAGUAUCCAAGGAAACCAUGUCUAGGUCUCUGCUAG